UACGUAGGGGACGAGCGUUGUCCGGAGUUACUGGGCGUAAAGGGCAUGCAGGCGGUCGGACGCGUUUUGUGUGACAGCGGGUGGCUCAACUACCCGAGCAUGCGAAAGACGGCUCGGACUUGAGGACUCGAGAGGGACACGGAAUUCCGGGUGGAGUGGUGAAAUGCGUAGAGAUCCGGAGGAACACCGAAGGCGAAGGCAGUGUCCUGGCGAGUGACUGACGCUGAGGUGCGAAAGCCAGGGGAGCGAACGGG
rnacentral:rRNA from 1 species